AGAGUUUGAUCAUGGCUCAGAACGAACGCUGGCGGCAUGCCUAACACAUGCAAGUCGAACGGGAUCCUGGCUUCGGCCAGGUGAGAGUGGCGGACGGGUGAGUAACGCGUGGGAACCUGCCCAAUGGUCUGGGAUAACCGCGGGAAACUGCGGCUAAUACCGGAUAAGCCCGAGAGGGGAAAGAUUUAUCGCCGAUGGAGGGGCCCGCGUCCGAUUAGGUAGUUGGUGAGGUAACGGCUCACCAAGCCUACGAUCGGUAGCUGGUCUGAGAGGAUGAUCAGCCACACUGGGACUGAGAUACGGCCCAGACUCCUACGGGAGGCAGCAGUGGGGAAUAUUGGACAAUGGGGGCAACCCUGAUCCAGCAAUGCCGCGUGAGUGAUGAAGGCCUUAGGGUUGUAAAGCUCUUUUACCAGGGAAGAUGAUGACUGUACCUGGAGAAUAAGCCCCGGCUAACUUCGUGCCAGCAGCCGCGGUAAUACGAAGGGGGCGAGCGUUGUUCGGAAUUACUGGGCGUAAAGGGCGCGUAGGCGGCCGUUCAAGUUAGAUGUGAAAGUCCUGGGCUUAACCUGGGGACUGCAUUUGAUACUGGAUGGCUUGAAUUCGGGAGAGGAUAGCGGAAUUCCCAGUGUAGAGGUGAAAUUCGUAGAUAUUGGGAAGAACACCGGUGGCGAAGGCGGCUAUCUGGACCGACAUUGACGCUGAGGCGCGAAAGCGUGGGGAGCAAACAGGAUUAGAUACCCUAGUAGUCC
rnacentral:rRNA from 1 species